UCUGAUUUCUCUUUUUCUCUACCAAAAAAUUCAUCGGCCGCCGCUGCCUCAUGCCGCUCUCCUGCCGGCAGCUGCUGCCCCGUUCGCCGCCCGCGGCUGCCCAUGUGCGCCAGCUGGCCCGCGCCGCCGCGCGGAGCCGGGAACCCUUCCUCCGGAUCCAGCCGCGGCCGGCGGGUGGGGCGCGAAGCCAUGCGCCCGAGGCCGCCGUUGCUGCUUGGCGAGGCCGCGCGGGGUCGCCGCCGAGCGACGCUAGGCUGUGGCCCUUUCCGCGCCCCCAGCAACGCCACCUCCGUCGAGGGGCUCGAGGCCAUGACCACAUCGCGCGACGACCCCACGGACCCGCGGGCCGCCGACGUCGCGCCGGUGCCGGCAACUCGGUUGCCGCUGGCACGGCAGAUCCCGGACGAGGAGGCGACGACCACCAACAAGGCACGUGCAGUUUUUCUCGUUCUUGGCUCGAUUUCUUAAAUCCGAGCAUUUAGGGAGCUUUUGGUUGGUUUGAUUCGUGCAAAGACAUGUGUUGAUGCUACUCCAUGAGUGAAUUUGAUUGAAUCAACACGAGCAUGAAGAAUCGAACCAAUUUCGUUUUGGUGAGAAAAACUACAUUCUUGCUCGUGAUCUGAAAUUCCCUGAGUUUGAGUUCGAAUUGAGACAUGACUCUUUCGGGAUAGCUUACCAACUCCAUGGAGAUCACCUGUGCAAAGUUUGGGAGCGAUUCCUUUUGAUUUAGUCAAGUUUCGGGCGUUUUCCUCUUUAUUUAUCCUGUCGUCCUUCUCUUCGAGGCUGCGGCAGCGGGUUUCAGGAGGAGGGUCGACGGGGAUCAAGGAGCAGGUGCUCACCAGGCAGCGCCAGCAGGUGCUCACCAAGCAGGCUGUGGCGGCUAAGAUGGUGGUUGCUGUGCUCAUCUCUGAAAUCUCAGUUUUGGUUCUUGGAAGCUUUCUUGCAGCAGUGAACAAAUUCAUUGCUGAUCGUUAUUCAUGGAAUUACACAGUAUCUGAAUACCAUGUGUAUGAGUUCUUUGGGGUCAGCAUACGCUCCCAUUUGAGUUGUCGGCAAGGAUAUAGGCUGGGGUUGGCGGUAUGGUGUUAAUUUGGGCCCAUUUGAGUUUGGAGAUUCUGCUUGCUUGUGCUCUCCUUGGCAUUAAGUGUUGUGGUAUGGAUCUCUACAUACGACUGAAGCUUGCGGAGGGUAUGCAGCCACAGCCUAGCUAGGCCGAUGGCCUAUUGCCGGUGGCUGGGGACUGAACGGAUCAUUUUUGCCGCCACUUCCCACAAGAAUGGCUUGACAAUCUCUGCAGGUUGACUUUGUACCAAACCUUGAUAACUCACAGAAGGAGCCAUCUCUGCUGCCAGCUCGUAUUUCAUCUCUAUUGUUGAAUGAUUCUUCUGGGAUUGCGGUCGGAAUGGCAACAAACAUUCCUCCUCAUAAUCUGGGGGAGCUUGUUGAUGCACUUUCUGUUAUAAUUCAAAACCCUGAAGCCACAGAAGGAAAUCUCCAUCCCGGAGAUGUUCAAGAGCACGUGUAUGACAAUGUCUUAAAUUCUUAUAUUCACCUAUAUCUAGAUGAUGAUGAAGGAACAUUCCACUACAUGGACCUGCAAUUCUUUGUAAGCACAGAGUCGUUCGAUAUACAUUCUUUUCUUGGACAUAUCAUAUUGUUCUCACUUGAUAUGGAAUCUCGAACUGUAUCUAUAUUGGACCCAAUGCCCAUACCUCACAAUUUUAAGUUGUGAUUUUACUCUAUGGAUGUGUUUGUGUAAUCAACAUAAUAACUUUGUCCUUUGUGUGAAACAUAUAUUUCUC